UGGGGAAUUUUGGACAAUGGACGCAAGUCUGAUCCAGCCAUGCCGCGUGCGGGAAGAAGGCCUUCGGGUUGUAAACCGCUUUUGUCAGGGAAGAAACGAGUUUCUCUAAUACAGAAGGCUAAUGACGGUACCGUAAGAAUAAGCACCGGCUAACUACGUGCCAGCAGCCGCGGUAAUACGUAGGGUGCGAGCGUUAAUCGGAAUUACUGGGCGUAAAGCGUGCGCAGGCGGUUUUGUAAGGCAGAGGUGAAAUCCCUGGGCUCAACCUGGGAAUUGCCUUUGUGACUGCAAGGCUUGAGUGCGGCAGAGGGGGAUGGAAUUCCGCGUGUAGCAGUGAAAUGCGUAGAUAUGCGGAGGAACACCGAUGGCGAAGGCAAUCCCCUGGGCCUGCACUGACGCUCAUGCACGAAAGCGUGGGGAGCAAACA
rnacentral:rRNA from 1 species